AACGAACGCUGGCGGCAUGCCUAACACAUGCAAGUCGAACGAGACCUUCGGGUCUAGUGGCGCACGGGUGCGUAACGCGUGGGAACCUGCCCUUAGGGUCGGAAUAACUCCCCGAAAGGGGUGCUAAUACCGGAUAAUGUCUUCGGACCAAAGAUUUAUCGCCUUUGGAUGGGCCCGCGUUGGAUUAGCUAGUUGGUAGGGUAAAAGCCCACCAAGGCGACGAUCCAUAGCUGGUCUGAGAGGGUGAUCAGCCACACUGGGACUGAGACACGGCCCAGACUGCGACGGGAGGCAGCAGUAGGGAAACUUCCGCAAAGGGCGAAGGCCUGAAGGAGCAACGCCGCGUGAGUGCUGAAGGUCUUCGUAUCGUAAAACUCUGUUAUUAGGGAAGAACAUAUGUGUAAGUACCUGUGCACAUCUUGACGGUACCUAAUCAGAAAACCACGGCUGACUACGUG
rnacentral:rRNA from 1 species